GUGGGGAAUCUUAGACAAUGGGCGCAAGCCUGAUCUAGCCAUGCCGCGUGAGCGAUGAAGGCCUUAGGGUUGUAAAGCUCUUUCAGUGGGGAAGAUAAUGACUGUACCCACAGAAGAAGCCCCGGCUAACUCCGUGCCAGCAGCCGCGGUAAUACGGAGGGGGCUAGCGUUGUUCGGAAUUACUGGGCGUAAAGCGCACGUAGGCGGACUGGAAAGUCAGGGGUGAAAUCCCGGGGCUCACCCCCGGAACUGCCUUUGAAACUCCUGGUCUUGAGGGCGAGAGAGGUGAGUGGAAUUCCGAGUGUAGAGGUGAAAUGCGUAGAUAUUCGGAGGAACACCAGUGGCGAAGGCGGCUCACUGGCUCGAUACUGACGCUGAGGUGCGAAAGCGUGGGGAGCAAACAGGAUUAGAAACCCGAGUAGUCC
rnacentral:rRNA from 1 species